rnacentral:lncRNA from 1 species
UUGACGAUAUCUUCAAACAGGUUUAGACCAUUCAGGCCUAGAUGUUGUGGCGUUCAUUUCCGCAAAACUUGUUAGAGCCUUAUAAAGGACUUAAUACGGCCGAACAAAAAAAUGCCAAUUAAUUAUUACCAAUUUAUUUCGCAAGGUGGUGUUAUCUAUAGAUUAACUAUGUCAUUAGUAGAAACAUCAUCGACCCUUGCAAUCCGUAUAUAUAGUAAAUAUUAUCGCUAACAAUAAGAUAGAAUAAAUAUGUCGACUACUGAAGAUUGGCGUUAUUAUGAAUUUAGGCAAAAAAUAUUACAAAUACUCAAGGAGGUUGUAGGAGAAUCAAGUAAGUGUUCACUGUUUCACAUCUUUUCAAUGGAAGAUCUCUAUUUUUGGACAGCAGAUAACAAGGAUGAUUAUCUCACGUUUAUUGCAAGACUUAUAUCCCAUAUUCAAGAAGAACAAGAUUAAUUAUAUACUAUAAUAUAUUCAAUUUGUUAUAAUAUGUUUCUAUUAUGAUCUAAUUUCGACUAACUAAUAUUUACUUUACACAAUAUAAACAUAAAUAAUAAAAACAAGCAUUUAAAUUGACGGUUACGUCUAAUUAAUUGUUACCAAUUUAUUUUGCAAGGUGGUGUUAUCUAUAGAUUAAUUAUGUCAUUGGUAGAAACAUUAUUCACCCUUGCAAUCCAUAUAUAUAAUAAACAUUAUCACUAACAAUCAGAAAGAAUAAAUAUGUCGAGCACUGAAGAUUGGCGUUCUAGUGAACUCAGGAAAAAUAUAUUAGCAAUACUGUAAGUAUUUUUAAACAUUAUACAUUAUAAAUAAAUUUGUUUUAAAUAUUGUACUUGAAAUGUUUAAAUACAUAGUAAAGAAGCCGUAGAAGCAAGACAUAAUGUUUCUAAAUUUUUAAAUGUUUAUGGAAUGGAAAGCCGCAUAUUUCAUAAAGCAAAAACCAAGUGUGAAUAUCUCGAAUUUGUGGGAAGACUUAUAAUACAUUCUAUGGGAAAAAAAAUUUAAUUAUGUAUCACAACAUAUCCUAUUUCUUAUAAUAUAUUUUUAUUUUUAUCUAAU